GAAGCAAUUUGUAACUUUCAGAAGCUCUCUAGGUCUAGGUACCAAUGGGAGGGAGACUGGUGGAGGGGGAAGACAAGCACCCCAGUUUUUCAGCCCAGCCAGUUUGUCUGGGGGCAUUCGGACCCCUGGCCCUCCUUUUCCCUAACAAACAAUCUGGAGCAGGGUUCUUCGCCCACUCCGGACCGAUGGCACAGUCAGGAAACUCCGCUCCGGGAGAGUUUACUUUUCCCUAGGGAUGAAUUACAUCUUUUGUACACUAAUUCUUCAGUGAUAUCAAGUUCACCUCCCUUCUCUACCCAUCUUCCAGUGUUCUUCUGCUUGCAUAUCAGAAGAGGACACCAGAUCUCAUCACAGAUAGUUGUGAG